AUUGAACGCUGGCGGCAUGCCUUACACAUGCAAGUCGGACGGCAGCACGGGAGCAAUCCUGGUGGCGAGUGGCGAACGGGUGAGUAAAGUAUCGGAACGUGCCCAGUCGUGGGGGAUAACGUAGCGAAAGUUACGCUAAUACCGCAUACGAUCUAUGGAUGAAAGCGGGGGAUCGCAAGACCUCGCGCGAUUGGAGCGGCCGAUAUCAGGUUAGGUAGUUGGUGGGGUAAAGGCUCACCAAGCCGACGAUCUGUAGCUGGUCUGAGAGGACGACCAGCCGCACUGGGACUGAGACACGGCCCAGACUCCUACGGGAGGCAGCAGUGGGGAAUUUUGGACAAUGGGCGCAAGCCUGAUCCAGCCAUGCCGCGUGCAGGAUGAAGGCCUUCGGGUUGUAAACUGCUUUUGUACGGAACGAAAAGGUUUGACUUAAUACGUUGGACUCAUGACGGUACCGUAAGAAUAAGCACCGGCUAACUACGUGCCAGCCGCCGCCGUAA
rnacentral:rRNA from 1 species